rnacentral:rRNA from 1 species
AGGACGAACGCUGGCGGCGUGCUUAACACAUGCAAGUCGAGCGGUAAGGCCCUUUCGGGGGUACACGAGCGGCGAACGGGUGAGUAACACGUGGGUGACCUGCCCUUAGCUCUGGGAUAAGCCUGGGAAACUGGGUCUAAUACCGGAUAUGACCUCGCGAUGCAUGUCGUGGGGUGGAAAGCCUUGUGUGGCUAGGGAUGAGCUCGCGGCCUAUCAGCUUGUUGGUGGGGUAAUGGCCUACCAAGGCGACGACGGGUAGCCGGCCUGAGAGGGCGACCGGCCACACUGGGGACUGAGACACGGCCCAGACUCCUACGGGAGGCAGCAGUGGGGAAUAUUGCGCAAUGGGCGAAAGCCUGACGCAGCGACGCCGCGUGGGGGAUGAAGGCCUUCGGGUUGUAACCCCUUUCAGCAGGGACGAAGCGAAGUGACGGUACCUGCAGAAGAAGCGCCGGCUAACUACGUGCCAGCAGCCGCGGUAA